UGUCAGUCUUCUUUAAAUAAAAACAAAUAAUGAUAACAUUCUCUAAAAGCUUCAAGAAAAGAACAUCACAACCAUAAUGAAGAUAGUCAUAGCACACAAUACAGAAAGCUAAUCUGUGUUGGAAAGCAUAUCAUAUCCUCAUUUAUAAGCAUUUAGAUGUGAAUGACAUAAAUGAUUGGUCAAACUCAGAGAUUGAAAAUAAGCAAAACAGAACCACUGGCAGUAAAGCCAAGACAACAAAUAAAAACAAGUGAUAUAUACCUUGCUUCAAGAAGCAUACAA
rnacentral:misc_RNA from 1 species